CUUUGCCUACACGACCCUCUCCCUAGGGCGUGGGCCCGGGUGGAGCCGCUGCGGGUGCAGAUGUUGGUGGUAGUAGCAAAUAUUCAAACGAGAACUUUGAAGGCCAAAGUGGAGAAGAGUUCCAUGUGAACAGCAGUUGAACAUGGGUUAGUCGGUCCUAAGAGAUGGGCGAACGCCGUUCGGAAGGGUGGGGUGAUGGCCUACGUCGGCCCCGGGCGAUUGAAAGGGAGUUGGGUUC